GCGGAUGGAUUAGGUUUCUCGCAAAAGGCAAGGUUUCAACCAUGUACAAGGCCGUCGGAUCGCGCGGGUCCCGGGUCAGCCGCGUGCUCUGG
rnacentral:ncRNA from 1 species